UACGAAGGGGGCUAGCGUUGUUCGGAUUUACUGGGCGUAAAGCGCACGUAGGCGGAUCGUUAAGUCGGGGGUGAAAUCCUGGAGCUCAACUCCAGAACUGCCUUCGAUACUGGCGAUCUUGAGUCCGGAAGAGGUGAGUGGAACUCCUAGUGUAGAGGUGGAAUUCGUAGAUAUUAGGAAGAACACCAGUGGCGAUGGCGGCUCACUGGUCCGGUACUGACGCUGAGGUGCGAAAGCGUGGGGAGCAAACAGG
rnacentral:rRNA from 1 species